rnacentral:rRNA from 1 species
UACGGAGGGUGCAAGCGUUGUCCGGAUUUAUUGGGUUUAAAGGGCGCGUAGGUGGCCCGGUCAGUUCGUGGUGAAAGCGCGGGGCUCAACCCUGCGUCGGCCAUGAAUACUGCCGCGGCUGGAGCACUGUAGAGGCAGGCGGAAUUCCGGGUGUAGCGGUGGAAUGCGUAGAGAUCCGGAAGAACACCGGUGGCGAAGGCGGCCUGCUGGGCAGUUGCUGACACUGAGGCGCGACAGCGUGGGGAGCAAACAGG